rnacentral:rRNA from 1 species
UACAGAGGUCUCAAGCGUUGUUCGGAUUCAUUGGGCGUAAAGGGUGCGUAGGCGGCGCGGUAAGUCGGGUGUGAAAUCUCGGGGCUUAACUCCGAAACUGCAUUCGAUACUGCGGUGCUUGAGGACUGGAGAGGAGACUGGAAUUCAUGGUGUAGCAGUGAAAUGCGUAGAUAUCGCUUGGAACGCCAACGGGUGAAAACAGGUUGCUGGGGGUGUGCUGACGCUGAGACACGGAAAGCCAGGGGAGGCGAACGGG